UACAGAGGUCUCAAGCGUUGUUCGGAUUCAUUGGGCGUAAAGGGUGCGUAGGUGGCGCCGUAAGUCGGGUGUGAAAUUUCGGAGCUUAACUCCGAAACUGCAUUCGAUACUGCGGUGCUUGAGGACUGGAGAGGAGACUGGAAUUCAUGGUGUAGCAGUGAAAUGCGUAGAGAUCAUGAGGAAGACCAGUGGCGAAGGCGGGUCUCUGGACAGUUCCUGACACUGGAGGCACGGAAGGCCCAGGGGAGCAAACGGG
rnacentral:rRNA from 1 species